rnacentral:lncRNA from 1 species
AAAAUGAGAAUGCAUGGGUGCUAAUUGAUAUUUAAAGUCCACAAUGUGAGAUGUACCAUUUACUUUUUCACAUUCAUCCUUACAUUUGGAACUUUACUUGCACAGACCUUAUCUUUCCGCAUAAUGCUUAUUGUUGAAACAUUGGAAAAGUUUUGAAUUAUUCAUUUUGUCAUGAAUUCUUGGAUGAGUGAUUACUUAAAUUUUUACUCAUGUAAUGCAUAAUCUGCAUCC